GUGGGUCAAGAAACUAUUACCCCUCUUGUGCCAACAAUAGAUGAGAAUGGGAAAGUUAUUAUAAAACCAUCUGGUACUGGGCUAGUUCCUGCCAAAGAAGUUGCUGGUGCCAUUAAUUAUGCGAUACGCAAACAAUUUUAUAAACCUAUACAUCAUUGGUCUGCACUCGAUCCUGAUACGAAAGCUGAUUGGUUUAAGUUGUUUGGAGAGAAGGUUUCGUGGGAUCCUUUCGAUCAUGCAUUUGUCUAUAGCGCAUUUGAAAAAAAGGAAGAAAACGAUUAAACGACAUGUUGGGGAAGGCGAGGAGAAAAGGGACUCGACCUUCAUGGAUUGGUGAUGAUGCUUGGGUUGAACUUCAAACUUAUUGGAAAAAGACCGAGUUUUUGGCUGUGUCUUCUCAAAACAAGACCAAUCGAGCUUCCGCAAGAGGCGGAGCAGUCCACACCACAGGCCGUAAGGCUCAUAUUGAUGUUGCACUUCAACUUUCACGUGAACUUCAAAGGGAUCUGCGUCCCGAUGAGUUAUUUUUAAAAACACACAAGAGGAAAAAUGGUGAAUGGGUUGACAGUCGUGCUGCAUCUACUUAUGUAAGUUCUCGUAAAUUUUACUGCAUCAAUAUUUGCAUCCAUGCUUUCAGAAGCAGACUUAUUCAAAUUAAA